rnacentral:rRNA from 1 species
CAUGCAGCGACGCCGCGUGAGGGAUGACGGCCUUCGGGUUGUAAACCUCUUUCAGCACAGACGAAGCGCAAGUGACGGUAUGUGCAGAAGAAGGACCGGCCAACUACGUGCCAGCAGCCGCGGUAAUACGUAGGGUCCGAGCGUUGUCCGGAAUUACUGGGCGUAAAGAGCUCGUAGGUGGUUUGUCGCGUUGUUCGUGAAAACUCACAGCUUAACUGUGGGCGUGCGGGCGAUACGGGCAGACUAGAGUACUGCAGGGGAGACUGGAAUUCCUGGUGUAGCGGUGGAAUGCGCAGAUAUCAGGAGGAACACCGGUGGCGAAGGCGGGUCUCUGGGCAGUAACUGACGCUGAGGAGCGAAAGCGUGGGGAGCGAACAGGAUUAGAUACCCUGGUAGUCCACGCCGUAAACGGUGGGUACUAGGUGUGGGUUUCCUUCCUUGGGAUCCGUGCCGUAGCUAACGCAUUAAGUACCCCGCCUGGGGAGUACGGCCGCAAGGCUAAAACUCAAAGGAAUUGACGGA